GAUGAACGCUGACAGAAUGCUUAACACAUGCAAGUCUACUUGAAUGUGGGUUUUAACUUAGGUUUGGGUGGCGGACGGGUGAGUAACGCGUAAAGAACUUGCCUCACAGCUAGGGACAACAUUUAGAAAUGAAUGCUAAUACCUAAUAUUAUGAUAAUAGGGCAUCCUAUAAUUAUGAAAGCUAUAUGCGCUGUGAGAGAGCUUUGCGUCCCAUUAGCUAGUUGGAGAGGUAACGGCUCACCAAGGCGAUGAUGGGUAGCCGGCCUGAGAGGGUGAUCGGCCACAAGGGGACUGAGACACGGCCCUUACUCCUACGGGAGGCAGCAGUGGGGAAUAUUGGACAAUGGACCGAGAGUCUGAUCCAGCAAUUCUGUGUGCACGAUGAAGUUUUUCGGAAUGUAAAGUGCUUUCAGUUGGGAAGAAAGAAAUGACGGUACCAACAGAAGAAGUGACGGCUAAAUACGUGCCAGCAGCCGCGGUAAUACGUAUGUCACGAGCGUUAUCCGGAUUUAUUGGGCGUAAAGCGCGUCUAGGUGGUUAUAUAAGUCUGAUGUGGAAAUGCGGGGCUCAACUCUGUAUUGCGUUGGAAACUGUAUAACUAGAGUACCGGAGAGGUAAGCGGAACUACAAGUGUAGAGGUGAAAUUCGUAGAUAUUUGUAGGAAUGCCGAUGGGGAAGCCAGCUUACUGGACAGAUACUGACGCUGAAGCGCGAAAGCGUGGGUAGCAAACAGG
rnacentral:rRNA from 1 species